rnacentral:rRNA from 1 species
UUGGAGGGCAAGUCUGGUGCCAGCAGCCGCGGUAAUUCCAGCUCCAAUAGCGUAUAUUAAGGUUGUUGCAGUUAAAAAGCUCGUAGUUGAAUUUCGGGAUUCAUCCGUUUGUCGGGCUUCACGGUCCGUACUGGUGUGAUGGGUUCCUACCUUCUGAAUAACCGGCAUGCCACUAAUUUGGUGCGCCGGGGAAGCAGAACUAUUACCUCGAAAAAAUUAGAGUGCUUAAAGCAGGCAAGUGCCUGAAUAGGUUAGCAUGGAAUAAUAAAAUAGGACGGCAUGGUUCUAUUUUGUUGGUUUCUAGGAUCACCGUAAUGAUUAAUAGGGAUAGUUGGGGGCAUUAGUAUUCAAUUGUCAGAGGUGAAAUUCUUGGAUUUAUUGAAGACUAACUUCUGCGAAAGCAUUUGCCAAGGAUGUUUUCAUUAAUCAAGAACGAAAGUUAGGGGAUCGAAGACGAUCAGAUACCGUCGUAGUCUUAACCAUAAACUAUGCCGACUAGGGAUCGGACGAUGUUAAUUUUUUAAUGACUCGUUCGGCGCCUUACGGGAAAC